GCUGAAAGAUUCGCAGAAGAAGGGGAAGCGUCAUCUAAGGCUCAACCGUUCCACUCUGAUGAGUCAGAAGGAGCAUUGGCACCAGGUGGAGCUAUUCAAAUCAGUUCCGAAGUUUCAGCUGUACUUGGAUCUCAAGGAGCAGGAAAGCCUGUAUCAGUUUCAUUUCCGAAAGGGAAGUUUGAUCGAGCUCACUUUGGGGACCAACAUAUUGCGACACAGAACAUAACGAACUACUAUGGUCCUGUGGUUAAUCAAGAUUCUGCUCAACAAAAACGAAAAGAUGCACCGGGUGAUAUAAAAGCUGCUGUAGGUUUGGGUGAAGACGAUGGUAUGUUUAAAUUGAUAAUUUGUUAAAAUAUUGUGAGGCUUGCUAAUAGGGUGACAGAAUAUAUCUUUAGAGAGACACUAUAACAGGCUGCUCAACUAUUUUCACCAAAUGUUCGCACACAAAAUUAAAGAUUUAAAUAUAUCU